rnacentral:rRNA from 1 species
AGAGUUUGAUCAUGGCUCAGGACGAACGUUGGCGGCAGGCUUAACACAUGCAAGUCGAACGAGAAGGGUGUCUUCGGAUGCCUGGACAGUGGCGGACGGGUGAGUAACGCGUGGGUACUUGCCUCCCAGUACGGGACAACCUCGGGAAACUGGGGCUAAUACCGUAUAUACCGGCCUUGGUGGUUCUUGGUCGGGAAAGAUUUAUCGCUGGGAGAUAGACCCGCGUCCGAUUAGCUAGUUGGUGUGGUAAAGGCGCACCAAGGCUUCGAUCGGUAGCUGGUUUGAGAGGAUGAUCAGCCACACUGGGACUGAGACACGGCCCAGACUCCUACGGGAGGCAGCAGUGGGGAAUAUUGGACAAUGGGCGCAAGCCUGAUCCAGCCAUGCCGCGUGAGUGAAGAAGGCCCUAGGGUUGUAAAACUCUUUCACCGAUGAAGAUAAUGACGGUAGUCGGAGAAGAAGCCCCGGCUAACUCCGUGCCAGCAGCCGCGGUAAUACGGAGGGGGCUAACGUUGUUCGGAUUUACUGGGCGUAAAGCGCGCGUAGGCGGUUUGUUAAGUUGGGCGUGAAAGCCCGGGGCUCAACCCCGGAACUGCGUUCGAAACUGGCAAGCUAGAGUUCGGGAGAGGGUGGUGGAAUUUCCAGUGUAGAGGUGAAAUUCGUAGAUAUUGGAAAGAACACCGGUGGCGAA